UACGUAGGGGGCGAGCGUUGUCCGAAGUUACUGGGCGUAAAGCGCGCGUAGGCGGGGGGUUAAGUGAGAGGUGAAAGGCUGGGGCUCAACCUCAUGCAGUGCCUCUCAUACUGGCCUUCUUGAGGGCGGUAGGGAGAAGUGGAAUGGCUGGUGUAGCGGUGAAAUGCGUAGAUAUCAGUCGGAACACCGGUGGCGAAGGCGGCUUCUUGGGCCGUUCCUGACGCUGAUGCGCGAAAGCGUGGGGAGCAAACAGG
rnacentral:rRNA from 1 species